rnacentral:rRNA from 1 species
AUACGGAGGGUGCAAGCGUUGUCCGGAUUUACUGGGUUUAAAGGGUACGUAGGCGGCGAAUUAAGUCAGUGGUGAAAUGUGUCGGCUCAACCGGCAAAGUGCCAUUGAUACUGGUUUGCUAGAGUGUUGUAUAGGUGGGCGGAAUUGAUGGUGUAGCGGUGAAAUGCAUAGAUACCAUCAAGAACACCGAUUGCGAAGGCAGCUCACUGGGCAACAACUGACGCUGAGGUACGAAAGCGUGGGGAGCGAACAGGAUUAGAUACCCCGGUAGUCC